rnacentral:rRNA from 1 species
CAAUAGCGUAUAUUAAAGUUGUUGCGGUUAAAAGACUCGUAGUUGGAUUUCUUGCUGAGGACGACCGGGUCCGCCCUCCGGGUGAGCAUCUGGUUCGGCCUUGGCAUCUUCUUGGUGAACGUAUCUGCACUUGACUGUGUGGUGCGGUACCCAGGACUUUUUACUUUGAGGAAAAUUUAGAGUGUUUCAAAGCAGGCAUACGCCUUGAAUACAUUAGCAUGGAAUAAUAAGAUAGGACCUCGGUUCUAUUUUGUUUGGUUUCUAGAGCUGAGGUAAUGAUUAAUAGGGAUAGUUGGGGGCAUUCGUAUUUAACUGUUCAGAGGUGAAAUUACUU